UAACGCGUGGGAAUCUGCCUAUCAGUGGGGAAUAACGACGGGAAACUGUCGCUAAUACCGCAUACGCCCUUAGGGGGAAAGAUUUAUCGCUGAUAGAUGAGCCCGCGUACGAUUAGCUAGUUGGUGAGGUAAUGGCUCACCAAGGCUACGAUCGUUAGCUGGUCUGAGAGGAUGAUCAGCCACACUGGGACUGAGACACGGCCCAGACUCCUACGGGAGGCAGCAGUGGAGAAUAUUGGACAAUGGGCGAAAGCCUGAUCCAGCAAUGCCGCGUGAGUGAUGAAGGCCUUAGGGUUGU
rnacentral:rRNA from 1 species